CUACCUGUCUUAUGUAUAUUUAAAUAUUCCACCAAUAUGUUAUUCAUGUUUUUUGUUUGUUUGUUUUUGUUUUUUUCAGUUCUCACGAACUGCAUUCUCAGGAAAAUCACAGAACAUCCACUAAAGAUUUUAUUCGUGUCUGCCUAUUUCGUAGACCUGUCAUUGCUCAGCUUUAAUGAGACCUAGUCAGCUUAGUUGCAGAAAGAUCCUUACAUGUCCAGGAGGUGAUCUCAUCUUUCAGUUUAGUGGAACCAUUGUUGUGUGCCUUUUGUUGGAAUCAUCCCAUCUUGAUAAUUAAUGUCUCCAAAGAAACAGCUCAAAGUUACCAGUACACAGUGAAAGUUGCAGCAACUUAUUCUCUUUGGAGGGGAUUUCUUGACAUGCUCUAGACUGUUGAUACAAGAAACUACCCUACAGAGACAGGUUCAUGAAAUCUUAUGGAGGCCUGAUUUUUCAUACUAAUAAGGAACCAAGCAAAUACUAUGAAUGCUGAUGGAAUUAGAGAUAACAGGAACUUGUUUCCUCUGAGAAUACAACACUCUGAAAUGUUACAAAUGUUGGAGACAGACUCACCAUCGCAUGCAAGGGGGAGCAAAGACAAGAUUCCGGAAUGUGCCACUUUGGCAUGUGGAUUGUUUCCAGCUGAAGACGAAAGCCAACAGACUCAAGAAGAGCUUUUUAUCUCCCCUUGAACUGCCUAAAAACUUUUAGAUAGUCUAUAGCAAAAGAGAACUAAUGCCAAAGAAAAUUUUUGGUUAUUUGUAGGGCCUGGCAAAUAUUUGUUUACCAAACGUCUGCUUGUCUCAUCUUUCUGAGAUUUGUCUUCCUCCCUUUUGACACUCCACACUUGUAUCCCCUUCUCCUUAGAUCAGAAUGUUAUAUAAGCGUCGAUUACCUGACUGCCAGGGAGCCUCUCAUGUCUUUGUGAGGCUUCUGAAUACACAAAAUUAAAAUUGUUUUUCCCCUGGUAAUCUGUGUUAUGUCAAUACAACUAUUAGACCAGCCAGAGAACCUAGAAGGGAAGAAGGGAAAAGUUUUCUCCCAUACAUAUGUUUGAUGUGAUUGCUUAUAUGUCACUUGUGGGUAGGUUGGAGCCAUAUCACUAAUUUUGGCCAAGGGACUGUGAGUGGAAGGAUGGAAAUAUAUAGUGCUAUUGAUUAAUUAAUUAGUGUGCUUUGUAUGUGGCUCUAUUAGACAGGCAUUACAUAGUAGAAAAUAAUUACAUAAUUUCAAAAAGUAUAAUCUGUUGAUGCUAUUAUGUGGCUCUACUAGAUAGAGAGACAUAACAGAUUUUGGAAAAUAAUUGCAUAUUUUCCCAAACUGUAAUUUACCAGUGUUAUUAGACUAGACUGGGCUUAUGCUGUGGUUUUGUGGUAAUAAAUUAACCAAGAGAUCACAGUCACACAACAAAGUGAAGGUCUGUUUGUUGCCAGUGUAAAGUCAGAUGUGGUUUUGCAGCUUCCCUCCUCAAAGCUACUCCCUCUGAAAACCAUGGCCUUAAAGGCUCUCUGCAGGAAAAUAAGGGUAACUAGUAACUGCCUCAGUGUGGAAGAUAUGCAUCUUCCACCCCCAGAUAUGUUUGAAAUUUAAGAGCCUUUCAUUAGAACAGUAGUGCCAGUCAUAAGAGCAUAUCAUGUUAGGAAAUCUUGAUAGUGAGUAUGUAUACUGAAGAGAAUCUAAAGUGGGGUCAUCUACACCAUUGGCUCAACAGUUAGACUGAAUGCAUUAAAUACCAUCAACUCUGCUCAUUUGUCUUGUGAUCUCUUGGACAACCUUACCUGUCUUAGACUGAGUUUUUUCAUCUGCAAUAAUAUCCAAUUAAUAUUAUUGUUCUAAAAAUUAGUCAUUCAUGAGUAUGGCACUGUACAUGGAAAUAACAACUAUUUAAUAAUUAUUAGAUAUAAAAUUGUAAUUUCU